UACGUAGGCAGCAAGCGUUGUUCGGGAUUACUGGGCGUAAAGAGUGUGUAGGCGGUGCUCCAAGUCUGGUGUGAAAUCUCCCGGCUUAACUGGGAGGGUGCAUUAGAAACUGGAAUGCUAGAGGAUGGGAGAGGUAAGCGGAAUUCCUGGUGUAGCGGUGAAAUGCGUAGAUAUCAGGAGGAACACCUGUGGUGUAGACAGCUUACUGGACCAUUUCUGACGCUGAGACACGAAAGCGUGGGUAGCAAACAGG
rnacentral:rRNA from 1 species